GACGAACGCUGGCGGCGUGCCUAAUACAUGCAAGUUGAGCGCUGAAGGUUGGUUCUUGUACCGACUGGGUGAGCCGCGCACGGGUGAGUAACGCGUGGGGAAUCUGCCUGUGAGCGGGGGACAACAUGUGGAAACGAAUGCUAAUACCGCAUAAAAACUUUAAACACAAGUUUGAAGGGUGAAAGAUGCAGUUGCAUCACUCAAAGAUGAUCCCGCGGUGUAUUAGCUAGGUGGUGAGGUAAAGGGUCACCAAGGCGAGGAUACAUAGAGGACCUGACAGGGUGAUCGGCCGCACUGGGACGGAGACCCGGCCCAAACGGCCUCGGGAGGCAGCAGGAGGGAAUCGUGGGCAAGCGAUGAAAGUUUUACCGCGAAACGCCGCGUGAGUAUAGAAGGUUUUCGGGUCGGAAAACUCGGUUGUUGGAGUAGAAAGCUGUUUAGCGUGGAACGCUCAGCAAGUGACGGUAACUACUCAGAAAGCGACGGCUAACUACGUG
rnacentral:rRNA from 1 species